GAUGAACGCUGGCGGCGUGCUUAAUACAUGCAAGUCGAGCGAACAGACGAGGAGCUUGCUCCUCUGACGUUAGCGGCGGACGGGUGAGUAACACGUGGAUAACCUACCUAUAAGACUGGGAUAACUUCGGGAAACCGGAGCUAAUACCGGAUAAUAUAUUGAACCGCAUGGUUCAAUAGUGAAAGACGGUUUUGCUGUCACUUAUAGACGGAUCCGCGCCGCAUUAGCUAGUUGGUAAGGUAACGGCUUACCAAGGCAACGAUGCGUAGCCGACCUGAGAGGGUGAUCGGCCACACUGGAACUGAGACACGGUCCAGACUCCUACGGGAGGCAGCAGUAGGGAAUCUUCCGCAAUGGGCGAAAGCCUGACGGAGCAACGCCGCGUGAGUGAUGAAGGUCUUCGGAUCGUAAAACUCUGUUAUUAGGGAAGAACAAAUGUGUAAGUAACUAUGCACGUCUUGACGGUACCUAAUCAGAAAGCCACGGCUAACUACGUG
rnacentral:rRNA from 1 species